GCAUUCUCAAGGUGCAGAAACUGCUCCCAGCCCCAGAAAACAGCUCUUUUCCAGACCUGCUGAGCAAGGGGAUUUGCUGCAGAUGUGAGGAAGCCACAUGGAUUUGAAGCCAGCAGCAGAGUUACAUAAACGUGAUUUCUGAAAUCAAGAAAUGGAUGAAGGGACUUCUGUGGGGCCCUCCCAAGCCACUGAAUGCUGAUCCUGAGUAAAAGCGCCCUGCAGACUGCUGGUGACCAGUAGCUGGACAGCACAGAUGAAGGGCAGUGUAGACAGAACUGAGUAGACACUGUUUCUACCACAACCGCUUCACCAGCCAUGAAGAAAGAGAAGACCCUGUCCUCAUCUGCUUGCCAAGGGGCCUGUCUCUCCUCUCUGCACUUGGUGAGAAACUGAGAAAAUCAGAUACUGAAACUUGGAUCCUGGUGAUUUCUAGCAGCUUUCUGGAAUGAAAGUUGGGCUGUCAGGUAUGGAAUCAUAGGCCCUUGCUGCCAGAGUGGGAUGCAGCCAGGGGUGAAGAAGGACUUCCUAAGGGGUGGUCUUCUGAGACCCUGGAACUGACUGAAGAGAAUUUCAUUAAAGAGAGUGUUUGAAGGAUGAAGACACUCUCUUUCCAUCAGUGUCUUGCAUGUAACUAAACAUUUCAACCUGGAGCCACAAGGAUCAAGCACAUGAUGCAACGGAUGCUUCUGCAAGGCUGAGAAUGCAGGCUCUCCCAUCGCAGUCAGCUUCUGUAUUCUCUUGAUAGGGAGACAGAAGAGAGGAGGGGCAUGGAGGACAGAGCCACAAGCUGGUUGGAAUUCAUAACAAGUGUGCACUCAGUCAGCUGAGUGCUCAGGAAGAUUAAGGUAGGAGCUGGCUGCCUGCAAAGCUCCCAUUGAUCUGGCCUCUCCCAAGCCUUUCCUGGUGGCCACGCUACUCUGCCACCAGCAUUGUUUCUUUAAACUUCAAAGCUGGG